CAUAUAAAGUAUUUACAAUAGGUUUUGUGUUAUUGGAUGGUAUGAUAUGAUUCAAGUCGAACAUAUUUCGUUAAGUGAUGAUUGUUUCUUCAAUUAUUUAACAACGAGUGCGAGGUUAUUGGUUACGAAGAUCCAAAAGGCAAAAGUAUCAGAUUAAUUGGCUUUCUAUUGAUAUCUGCUACAGAAACAUAAUUUCAUCAUCUAUUUUUUUCGUUUAGUUAUGUUAAUAGUACGUUGAUUGGUUUAUUUACUUUAUGAACCUGAGGGUUCCAUAAUAAUUUCCUUCAGAGAAUUUGGUUAUGAUUAUCAUAAACGUAUAAUGCUCUUUGUCAAUACUUCGAAAACAUAUUAUUUUGUUCAAUAUGUUCUAAAGUAGUAUGUUCUAAAGUUGUAUAUACUACAUACAGGUAGGUUUGAAAUUAUAAUGGUUAUAAUAUUGAAUAUCGUACAACAAGAGUUCCAUAUAUUCAUAUAAAUGUAUAAUUUUCUUUGUCAAUACCUCAAAAACAUAUUAUUUUGUUAAAACGUAUAAUGUUCCAUGCGUACCGUUUAUAUCUACGGCCCAUUGAACUACAAUCCUGUCGAAGAGUGGUUUUUCCAUAGGUUGAAAGCGGGCCGACCCAUCCCCAUUCCCAAAUCAGGUUUGCAAGUAACCCAACUCGGUCACGUAAAGGAUUUGGCUACAACUUUUAUAAAAGUUUUGGGGAAUGAAAAGCAUGCAAACAAGUGUACAACAUUUCAGGAUAUAGAUAUGUUACUUUCGAUGGAUUAGCAAGAGCUUGCGCUAAGGUAAAUUUCGUUAUAAUUUUUGAAGUUUUAAUCGAAAAAUUUAUAACAAGAUAUUUUACGAUUUAAUCUUGCAGGCUGGUGGAUUCCUUGAGCCCGAGAUCAUUCACUAUAAUCCUAAGGAGUUCCAUUACGGUAAAAAGAAAGCAUUUCCAUUCCAGGACCAGGUAAACACCAACUUAUAUAUACGUGCGGAAAGUCAACCUUGUGUUUGACUUUUGUUAUCGAUAUAAACAUUGUUCGAACCUAAUCGUUCAUUGGCAAGUUCUAAAAUUUGAAACACGAUAAUCAAUUUGCAAACACGAUCGAAGACACGGGACACCCCUAUACAAUUUCGCAACAUCAUAAUCCGGGGCUUAUAAACGGGUCAAUUCAAGUUUGACCAACCAGUUCUGUAAGGAUUUCCCAAUGAUUGGCGUCAUGGGAGGCACGAUUCCGAUGGGAACUUUUUGUUAUGGAAGAUCAUGUACUUUAUGAAUUUCUAGGGCUUGCACGAGAUGAAAAUGAAUAACAUGGGAGGCUAUUUUUAGAGCGAUUUAAUUUUUUUUCACUAAACAAUGUAUUAUUUUUUUUAAAUCGUCUUAUUUUAAGUAAUUUGAUGUAACUGAAACUUACAGUCUCUUUUAUUGCCGAAUGCACUUUUAUAUAAGAUAACUUAUUUUUAUC